rnacentral:rRNA from 1 species
ACGGGUGAGUAAUGUCUGGGAAACUGCCUGAUGGAGGGGGAUAACUACUGGAAACGGUAGCUAAUACCGCAUAACGUCGCAAGACCAAAGAGGGGGACCUUCGGGCCUCUUGCCAUCAGAUGUGCCCAGAUGGGAUUAGCUAGUAGGUGGGGUAACGGCUCACCUAGGCGACGAUCCCUAGCUGGUCUGAGAGGAUGACCAGCCACACUGGAACUGAGACACGGUCCAGACUCCUACGGGAGGCAGCAGUGGGGAAUAUUGCACAAUGGGCGCAAGCCUGAUGCAGCCAUGCCGCGUGUAUGAAGAAGGCCUUCGGGUUGUAAAGUACUUUCAGCGGGGAGGAAGGUGUUGUGGUUAAUAACCGCAGCAAUUGACGUUACCCGCAGAAGAAGCACCGGCUAACUCCGUGCCAGCAGCCGCGGUAAUACGGAGGGUGCAAGCGUUAAUCGGAAUUACUGGGCGUAAAGCGCACGCAGGCGGUCUGUCAAGUCGGAUGUGAAAUCCCCGGGCUCAACCUGGGAACUGCAUUCGAAACUGGCAGGCUAGAGUCUUGUAGAGGGGGGUAGAAUUCCAGGUGUAGC